rnacentral:rRNA from 1 species
AUGGUGGUUGGGGCAGGUGUUGGUGGCCCUGACAGACGCAGGUUGGGGCCUGAGCAGGCGGCCUUGACGACGGAGGUUGGAGUAGAAGGAGCAGCUAGUUCACGGUCACGGCUGGAGGUGGUUGAUGGUUGCGUCUCCUCGGUGUGGGUGUCGGUGUUCUGCAACGAUUUGGUCGCAACGACGAGGUGCUGCGACGGCGGCGGUGCAUCCCUUCAUGAAGUGCUUGGCCGUAUUCCUUUGGCUUGGGCGGGAGGUCGUGAUAGUAUGGAUGAAAAUCCAACACAGCCUUGGCUGGUGCUUGCGACGACGGCGCCUGUGGGUGUCGUUUCCCUCCGUGGAGGCAUCGCGGUGGUGUGCCGGCAUCUUCCCCCGCGCUAG